AUCACCUCAGCCUGCUCAUUCAGCAGUUUUUGAACCUGAUAACUGUCCAUAAACACUUGGGUUGUUUGUUACAAACAUAAAUUUCUGGGCGUUUCCUAGACCUACUGAAUCAAAAUCUCCAGGAGUGUAAUUCAGGCACUUGAAUCUUUAACCCCCUUGGUGACCCUCAGGCAGCCCGUGUGGCCAGAGUCAGAGGCCGGAGAGGAGACUAGGGCUGCCCUCCUGAGAUCCUGCCAUCGCCUGAGAUCCAUCGGUGAGGAGAUAACGCAAGCACAGUGAUCACCGCAACACAAGGAGCUCCACGACCUUCUCUCUCUGGCUGAACCCAGAGUGGGCCCUGAUUCACAUAUGCUCCCCACAGAGACCAGCAGGACCCCGGCACAAGAAAGCUUGUCAGUGCUAUCUGUGGCCUGCCCAAACCCAGAGCUGGAAGAGGGCUAAGUUCCAAGUGGGCAAGCCUGCAUCCUCUCACGUCCCGCCCUUGCGGGUGGGCUAAGGGGCUCCUCUG
rnacentral:lncRNA from 1 species